AUUGAACGCUGGCGGCAGGCUUAACACAUGCAAGUCGAACGAGUGGCGGACGGGUGAGUAAUGCUUGGGAAUCUGGCUUAUGGAGGGGGAUAACGACGGGAAACUGUCGCUAAUACCGCGUACCAUAGGAUGAGCCCAAGUGGGAUUAGGUAGUUGGUGGGGUAAUGGCCUACCAAGCUGACGAUCUCUAGCUGGUCUGAGAGGGUGACCGGCCACAUUGGGACUGAGAUACGGCCCAGACUCCUACGGGAGGCAGCAGUGGGGGAUAUUGCACAAUGGGCGAAAGCCUGAUGCAGCGACGCCGCGUGAGUGAUGACGGCCUUCGGGUUGUAAAGCUCUGUUAAUCGGGAGACGGUACCGGAAUAGAAAGCCACGGCUAACUACGUGCCAGCAGCCGCGGUAAUAC
rnacentral:rRNA from 1 species